rnacentral:rRNA from 1 species
GAAGAACCUUACCUGGCCUUGACAUGUCUGGAACCCUUGAGAGAUCGAGGGGUGCCUUCGGGAACCAGAACACAGGUGCUGCAGGGCUGUCGUCAGCUCGUGUCGUGAGAUGUUGGGUUAAGUCCCGCAACGAGCGCAACCCUUGUCCUUAGUUGCCAGCACGUAAUGGUGGGAACUCUAAGGAGACUGCCGGUGACAAACCGGAGGAAGGUGGGGAUGACGUCAAAUCAUCAUGCCCCUUAUGUCUUGGGCUUCACGCAUGCUACAAUGGCCGGUACAAAGGGCUGCGAUACCGCAAGGUGGAGCGAAUCCCAAAAAGCCGGUCUCAGUUCGGAUUGAGGUCUGCAACUCGACCUCAUGAAGUUGGAGUCGCUAGUAAUCGUGGAUCAGCAACGCCACGGUGAAUACGUUCCCGGGUCUUGUACACACGC